AUUGAACGCUGGCGGCGGGCCUAACACAUGCAAGUCGAGCGGAUGAAGGGAGCUUGCUCCUGGAUUCAGCGGCGGACGGGUGAGUAAUGCCUAGGAAUCUGCCUGGUAGUGGGGGAUAACGUCCGGAAACGGGCGCUAAUACCGCAUACGUCCUGAGGGAGAAAGUGGGGGAUCUUCGGACCUCACGCUAUCAGAUGAGCCUAGGUCGGAUUAGCUAGUUGGUGGGGUAAAGGCCUACCAAGGCGACGAUCCGUAACUGGUCUGAGGGGAUGAUCAGUCACACUGGAACUGAGACACGGUCCAGACUCCUACGGGAGGCAGCAGUGGGGAAUAUUGGACAAUGGGCGAAAGCCUGAUCCAGCCAUGCCGCGUGUGUGAAGAAGGUCUUCGGAUUGUAAAGCACUUUAAGUUGGGAGGAAGGGCAGUAAGUUAAUACCUUGCUGUUUUGACGUUACCAACAGAAUAAGCACCGGCUAACUUCGUG
rnacentral:rRNA from 1 species